rnacentral:rRNA from 1 species
CAUACUGAUCCGCGAUUACUAGCGAUUCCAGCUUCACGCAGUCGAGUUGCAGACUGCGAUCCGAACUGAGAACAGAUUUGUGGGAUUGGCUAAACCUUGCGGUCUCGCAGCCCUUUGUUCUGUCCAUUGUAGCACGUGUGUAGCCCAGGUCAUAAGGGGCAUGAUGAUUUGACGUCAUCCCCACCUUCCUCCGGUUUGUCACCGGCAGUCACCUUAGAGUGCCCAACUAAAUGCUGGCAACUAAGAUCAAGGGUUGCGCUCGUUGCGGGACUUAACCCAACAUCUCACGACACGAGCUGACGACAACCAUGCACCACCUGUCACUCUGUCCCCGAAGGGAAAGCCCUAUCUCUAGGGUUGUCAGAGGAUGUCAAGACCUGGUAAGGUUCUUCGCGUUGCUUCGAAUUAAACCACAUGCUCCACCGCUUGUGCGGGCCCCCGUCAAUUCCUUUGAGUUUCAGUCUUGCGACCGUACUCCCCAGGCGGAGUGCUUAAUGCGUUAGCUGCAGCACUAAGGGGCGGAAACCCCCUAACACUUAGCACUCAUCGUUUACGGCGUGGACUACCAGGGUAUCUAAUCCUGUUCGCUCCCCACGCUUUCGCUCCUCAGCGUCAGUUACAGACCAGAGAGUCGCCUUCGCCACUGGUGUUCCUCCACAUCUCUACGCAUUUCACCGCUACACGUGGAAUUCCACUCUCCUCUUCUGCACUCAAGUUUCCCAGUUUCCAAUGACCCUCCCCGGUUGAGCCGGGGGCUUUCACAUCAGACUUAAGAAACCGCCUGCGAGCCCUUUACGCCCAAUAAUUCCGGACAACGCUUGCCACCUACGUAUUACCGCGGCUGCUGGCACGUAGUUAGCCGUGGCUUUCUGGUUAGGUACCGUCAAGGUGCAAGCAGUUACUCUUGCACUUGUUCUUCCCUAACAACAGAGCUUUACGAUCCGAAAACCUUCAUCACUCACGCGGCGUUGCUCCGUCAGACUUUCGUCCAUUGCGGAAGAUUCCCUACUGCUGCCUCCCGUAGGAGUCUGGGCCGUGUCUCAGUCCCAGUGUGGCCGAUCACCCUCUCAGGUCGGCUACGCAUCGUCGCCUUG